rnacentral:rRNA from 1 species
AAACCAGCACCUCAAGUGGUCAGGAGGAUUAUUGGGCCUAAAGCAUCCGUAGCCUGUUCUAUAAGUUUCCGGUUAAAUCCAUUAGCUCAACUAAUGGGCUGCCGGAAAUACUGUAGAACUAGGGAGUGGGAGAGGUAGACGGUAUUCGGUAGGAAGGGGUAAAAUCCUUUGAUCUAUUGAGGACCACCUGUGGCGAAGGCGGUCUACCAGAACACGUCCGACGGUGAGGGAUGAAAGCUGGGGGAGCAAACCGGAUUAGAAACCCGAGUAGUCC